AUGACGGGCGCGACCUCCUCCUGGAGGCGCGCAGGAGCUGCGGCUGGCGCGACCUCCUCCUGGAGGCGCGCAGGAACUGCGGCUGGCGCGACCUCCUCCUGGAGGCGCGCAGGAACUGCGGCUGGCGCGACCUCCUCCUGGAGGCGCGCAGGAACUGCGGCUGGCGCGACCUCCUCCUGGAGGCGCGCAGGAACUGCGGCUGGCGCGACCUCCUCCUGGAGGCGCGCAGGAACUGCGGCUGGCGCGACCUCCUCCUGGAGGCGCGCAGGAACUGCGGCUGGCGCGACCUCCUCCUGGAGGCGCGCAGGAACUGCGGCUGGCGCGACCUCCUCCUGGAGGCGCGCAGGAACUGCGGCUGGCGCGACCUCCUCCUGGAGGCGCGCAGGAACUGCGGCUGGCGCGACCUCCUCCUGGAGGCGCGCAGGAACUGCGGCUGGCGCGACCUCCUCCUGGAGGCGCGCAGGAACUGCGGCUGGCGCGACCUCCUCCUGGAGGCGCGCAGGAACUGCGGCUGGCGCGACCUCCUCCUGGAGGCGCGCAGGAACUGCGGCUGGCGCGACCUCCUCCUGGAGGCGCGCAGGAACUGCGGCUGGCGCGACCUCCUCCUGGAGGCGCGCAGGAACUGCGGCUGGCGCGACCUCCUCCUGGAGGCGCGCAGGAACUGCGGCUGGCGCGACCUCCUCCUGGAGGCGCGCAGGAACUGCGGCUGGCGCGACCUCCUCCUGGAGGCGCGCAGGAACUGCGGCUGGCGCGACCUCCUCCUGGAGGCGCGCAGGAACUGCGGCUGACGCGACCUCCUCCUGGAGGCGCGCAGGAACUGCGGCUGACGCGACCUCCUCCUGGAGGCGCGCAGGAACUGCGGCUGACGCGACCUCCUCCUGGAGGCGCGCAGGAACUGCGGCUGACGCGACCUCCUCCUGGAGGUGCGCAGGAACUGCGGCUGACGCGACCUCCUCCUGGAGGUGCGCAGGAACUGCGGCUGACGCGACCUCCUCCUGGAGGUGCGCAGGAACUACGGCUAGCGCGACCUCCUCCUGGAGGUGCGCAGGAACUGCAGGUGCUACCUCCUCCUGGAGGUGCGCAGGAACUGCAGGUGCUACCUCCUCCUGGAGGCCGGCGGGCGCUGCAGCUCCAAGGGUGACGGGGACUGGAACGACCGCUACAGGGCCGACGGGAACGGGGAAUGGAACGACCGCUACAGGGCCGACAGGAACGGGGUCAGAGACAGGGGUGACCUCUACUUGGCCUACGGGAACGCCCUCAACUUGGCCUACGGGAACGCCCUCAACUUGGCCUACGGGAACGCCCUCUACUUGGCCUACGGGAACGCCCUCUACUUGGCCUACGGGAACGCCCUCUACUUGGCCUACGGGAACGCCCUCAACUUGGUCGACAGGGACAGGAGCUGGAACGACCUCAACUUGGUCGACAGGGACAGGAACUGGAACGACCUCAACUUGGUCGACAGGGACAGGAACUGGAACGACCUCAACAUGGCCGACAGGAACAGGAACUGGAACGACCUCAACUUGGUCGACAGGGACAGGAACUGGAACGACCUCAACAUGGCCGACAGGAACAGGAACUGGAACGACCUCAACUUGGUCGACAGGGACAGGAACUGGAACGACCUCAACUUGGUCGACAGGGACAGGAACUGGAACGACCUCAACUUGGUCGACAGGGACAGGAACUGGAACGACCUCAACAUGGCCGACAGGAACUGGAACGACCUCAACAUGGCCGACAGGAACUGGAACGACCUCAACAUGGCCGACAGGAACUGGAACGACCUCAACAUGGCCGACAGGAACUGGAACGACCGCAACAUGGCCGACAGGAACUGGAACGACCUCAACAUGGCCGACAGGAACUGGAACGGCCUCUGCUUGGCCGACAGAAACUGGAACGACCUCAACAUGGCCGACAGGAACUGGAACGACCUCAACAUGGCCGACAGGAACUGGAACGGCCUCUACAGGGCCGACAGGAACAGGAACGGCCUCAAUAUGGCCGACGGGAACAGGAACGGCGUCCUCCUCUGAGGAGCCGACAGGAACUGGAACUAGAACGGCCUCAAUAUGGCCGACGGGAACAGGAACGGCGUCCUCCUCUGAGGAGCCGACAGGAACUAGAACGGCGUCCUCCUCUGAGGAGCCGACAGGAACUAGAACGGCCGCAACAUGGCCGACAGGAGCUGGAACGGCCGCAACAUGGCCGACAGGGACUGGAACGGCGUCAACUCCGGAGCUGGCAUGA
rnacentral:lncRNA from 1 species